UAUGAGUAUCGGUCUUUGCUCGGCUUAUGAGUAAAAUAUCUCUGCUUGGAAGAAAUUUAAUGGAUUUGGAGUUGGUUUUUUGACCCAGGUGAGAAUCAGAGGCUGGCAUUCUCCGAUGGGAGCGGUCCGAGAAUGUGUCUCUCUUUAGAUCUAUCAGAUUUUCCUGUGUUUUGAUCACUGGCGAGUCAAAUUCUUCAGUCCAAAAGCAUUUAUUAUGAGCAAAAGAGAUGUUGCUCUGGGAGUACAAGGCUACGGAAGAUCGCGGCUUACGGAAGAAACGAAGACAUCACCAGUGGUUCGAUUUCAGGGAGGACUUCCGCCGGUAGACCAAAACAGAUUUGGUUAGUGGUUCUCAUGUGUUUUAAAAGCAUUUCUGGCCUCUAGACUUAACAACUUUGUACUCUCUUCUUUUAAUCUUACAUAGCAACUUUGUACUCUUUUUUUUGUUAACUAGCAACUUUGUACUCAUUUCCUGGAUUUUGAGCUUUAUAAAUGAUAUGUUGAAAAAAAAUGAAAAAAAUGUAAAUAUGGUUUACCUACAAGCGAUCGAGC
rnacentral:lncRNA from 1 species